CGUUCAUUUUGCAUGCUUUUGUGCGAAUGCAGACUCUGAGCAUGGCUUGCAUGUUGGGUUUCAUCUCUAGUUUCUACAACACCAAGUCUUUAGUGCUGUGCAUUGGCAUCACUGCCACAGUGUGUCUGUGUGUCACCAUCUUCAGCUUUCAGAGCAAGAUUGACAUCACCUCUUUCCAAGGUCUUCUCUUCAUUCUGUGUAUGGUCAUG